UACGGGGGGGAGCAAGCGUUGUUCGGAUUUACUGGGCGUAAAGGGCGCGUAGGCGGCCACCGCAAGUCGACUGUGAAAUCUCCGGGCUUAACCCGGAACGGUCAGCCGAUACUGCGGGGCUAGAGUGCAGAAGGGGCAACUGGAAUUCUCGGUGUAGCGGUGAAAUGCGUAGAUAUCGAGAGGAACACCUGCGGCGAAGGCGGGUUGCUGGGCUGACACUGACGCUGAUGCGCGAAAGCUAGGGGAGCGAACGGG
rnacentral:rRNA from 1 species